rnacentral:rRNA from 1 species
AAUGAACGCUGGCGGCAUGCCUAACACAUGCAAGUCGAACGAGUGGCGGACGGGUGAGUAAUGUCUGGGAAACUGCCUGAUGGAGGGGGAUAACUACUGGAAACGGUAGCUAAUACCGCAUACCAUCAGAUGUGCCCAGAGGGGUUUAGCUAGUUGGUGGGGUAACGGCUCACCAAGGCGACGAUCCCUAGCUGGUCUGAGAGGAUGACCAGCCACACUGGGACUGAGACACGGUCCAGACUCCUACGGGAGGCAGCAGUAGGGAAUAUUGCGCAAUGGGCGAAAGCCUGAUGAAGCCAUGCCGCGUGUAUGAAGAAGGCCUUCGGGUUGUAAAGUACUGUCAGCGGGGAGGCGUUACCCGCAGAAGAAGCACCGGCUAACUCCGUGCCAGCAGCCGCGGUAAUUC